AAAUCGGCCCUUUUCAGGGCCACAAAUAUUUCAAACGUUUGAAUA
rfam:Trachymyrmex cornetzi contig60376, whole genome shotgun sequence.